rfam:Pongo abelii chromosome 21, whole genome shotgun sequence.
GCCAGGUGUGGUGGUGUGUGCCUACAGUCCCAGCUACUUGGGAAGCUGAGGUAAGAGGACCGCCUGAGCCCAGGAGUUUUGGGCUGUAGUGGGCUGUGCUAACCAGGUAUCUGCACGAAGUUUGGCAGCAACAUGGUGACCUUCUAGGAAUGGGGAACCACCAGCUUGCUAAGGAGGGGUGAACUGACCCAAGUAGGAAAGGGAGCAGGUCAAAACUCCCAUGCCGAUGAGUAAUGGGAUUGUGCCUAUAAAUAUCCACUGCACUGCAGCCUGGCAACAUAAUAAGACCCCGUCUCUA